CCCAACACAGAUAUAGAGAGAGAGUAUGCGAAAUUACUAACAUAGAGAGAGAGAGCGCACAACAGAGAUCAAAAUAAUGUAAAUCUAAGGUUUCUAUUGUGUUUUUCUCUUCUUCUGCUGCAUCUUUUAUCUAAAGGAAAGAUAUGUUUUGAUUUUUCUAUGUUUUAUGGGCAGUUUCUUUCUUCUUUAUCUCCUUCUUUGUGUUUUCUGACAUUAAACCUAAAAUAGAAAUUAAGAAAUCCGUGUUUUUUUGCUUAUUGUCUAAAGGACAGAGUGUCUUUAAUUGUUUUUUUGGCUAAAUUGAAGGUGGGUGUCUUGAAAACUGUUGGGUUUAUAAUUUAUUUGAAGGUUAAGUGUUGGGAAUCUCUAUUUGGGCCAAAAUCUGAUGAAAAUGGAAAUUCGACCUUUGUUUGUGCUAAACCUUGUAGGAUAAUAUUAUUUGGUGGUUAAAGUUUAUUUUAAUUCAUUGCAUGUGAGAAAAAGCUUGAAGAACUCAACAUUCUUUAUAUUCUGUGAUUUGAAAUCAGUGUUAGUGAACUGGGUUUCUUACUCGAUUUUUUUUAGUUUCCACUGGUCCAACACUUCCUUGCUGUUUUAGGAAGGCACUCAUGAGGUCAUCCUGUCCAAAUUGCUCCGGGAAAAUGGUAUUCUGAUAGUCUGCGUCGGGAAAUAUUUUGGCUUUAACAGCAAGCAUAUUCCCACCAACAGAGUUAAGUUGUUGUCUACCCAUAGGAUUAGAAUGUCCAGUUUCUUCCCCAUUGGAGUACAUUGGUUUCCCAACAGGAACAUUUCUGUUUUGUCCACUGUUGUGUGUUGAAGAUGCAAGAAUAUGUUGCCAGUUAUUUUUUUUAGCCUAGUCUACAUAUUCUUUUGAAGAAAUAAAAUGCUCGAAUAAAUUAUUAAGAGACUCUGUCUCUCGUCUACUAGCAGAGAUCAUGCUCGUUAGAUAUUAAAAUGUGAAUGUGUGUUUUGUUUCGUGACCGUAGAAAUAGAACGUUUUACCUGCUAUUUAACAUGAGAAUAUGUUCACUGGUUAGUCUAUCCUAUUUUCAUGUCGCUGUUGUUACUCCAUUUGAAUAGAAAACAUGAGUUAAUUUAAUGCUUUGUUAGUUUCCAUUUUAUUUCCUCCUGUCAUCUCCAUUGCAAAGUAUGAGUUACUUAGCAUUUCCUGCACUUUUUUUUCCAUAUUUAGCCUUUCUUCAUUUCUCACUAAAAGUCAGUUGGUUUAUUAGUCAAUUAGUGUGUGUUAAAAUCUGAGUGUUUAAGUUCUUGUUUGAGCAUAAAUUCUCCUUCUUCUCUCUUAAUUUUCCGGUUCUGUUUGGCUGUGUCGUUUUUAGCUAUUUUCCUAGUUAAGUUUUCUGCCUAUUUAAAUUCUGUGUGAGUAUGAGUUAAUGGACUCGAUCUCAUGUUUGUUAGCGUCGUUCUGAUUUUUGUAGGAAUUCAGCAUGAUUAAGUUUACAGGUUUAGAUGUUUAGCUUCCUUUAAAUUUGAGUGAAAAGCAUGAGUUUAUUUCCCUUUGCUGUUUAUUUUUUUUCCAGUAUGCUCAACUCGUUAGAAAAUGUUUGUUUGGUUAAAUACCAAUUUUGUAAUUGUUAAUGAAAUCCUCAUGCAUUCAUCAAUAAGUUUAUGUUAUGAGAUUUAGCUUAUGCUCAAGCUUAGAUUAGUAUGAGAUUGAGUAUUGCCUAAUGUUUCAGCCCGUUUUACUUCUUCCUUGAGCAUUUUAGUUCCAAAAACAUGAAAUUAUAUAUUACAAUGAGUGACUUUCUUUGUUCUCCAAGCAUGUUAGAGUUAUACAAAUGUUAAUCUCUAUAUAGAUUUUUAUCAAGUUAUGCUUAAAAUUUCCAGUUUAAGCAUAUUUCCACUUUGAGUUUCCAGAAACAAAUGUUGCUCUCUUGAUGUAUUCACUAGCUUGCCUUUCUUUAAGUUAGUUCCCCUGUUUCCUUUAUGUCUCAUGAACCAAAAGUUCAUUUUUGUGUAUAAUUCUCCAGUAAGCAUAAAGAGAUUUUGGCUUAGUUACGUUGACUCGUUCCAAUUCAUUUGUGUUAGUUUUUUUUCCUAGUUCAUGCAUCCGUUUGCUCUUUAGUUUAAUAAAGUUUGCUUAGGGAGCUGUGAUAAUUCAACCAAUAUCUUACCCCCUUGUUAAGCGAAUGUUGGUGUUUGAUUCACUGUUCUUAUCUACUACAUCAGUUCCGUAUGUUAAUUGGUACAUGGAUCCGGUUUCCCUUCUGCAAUAGCCUUCUCGGAGAGUGAAUAAAACCACACGUUUCUCCAUUUGAACUACACAAGGUGUCAGACAAAUGGGAUUGGUUAAAGCACAUGAUUCAAAAUGUAAUGUCAAUUAAGAAAUCUAAAAUUUCUUACCUCCUUGACAGCUGUUGGAAAGUGCGCAACUGCUCGUGAGUAAGCGCAGAGCCUAUCUUCCAUGGCAUUCUCAAAAACUAGGCCUUUCUCUGCAGCAGCAAGCUCAGCAAUCAGUUUAGACACCUGAAAGCAGCAAAACUUAGUUUAGUAACGUCUUGGCAUCUAGAUUAUCGUCUGCAUUAGCCACAUUCAUUAUGAGAGCUAAACAAGCGAAGCAUCUGACUGUAAUUUCCUCCUUUUACAGGGGGGAAGACUAACAAUGUGGCCCCUGGCAAGCCACCUUAGUUUGGAAAAAGGAGAAUAAAAAAGAUAGUAGUCUUUUUUUGCGGAUGCACGUGAUUCAAGUUGGUAUUACUGGAACAAAAACUUUCAUGAGUGCAUUUAGUCCCUUUGCAUAAACGUAUGGUAGGCCUAAACAAUAACAACAUGCAUUUGAAGAUACAAGUAUUACCGUAGAACCAUAUAAUAAUGUUCCAUUGGUGUGGCCUCAAGAAACAACUGUGCUAAUUAGACAAUAGAAACAUAGUUGAUAAGCAACACCACCACUUUCUCUUAAUACACUACAUAUAUGUAUGCCAUUAACACAAUAAAUAUGUGGGUUAGGUGCACAAUAAAUAUUUUAUGGCAUGUGUGAACUCUUUGAUAAUUUCCUCUCUUUCUGUUUGUAUACCUUUUCUUAUAUAAGUCCUAGAACUUGUUUGGAGUAAGAGCUUUUCUUUCUUUAUAUUCAAAGAGACCUUAGUCUUAAAAUGGGAUAAUCUGCCAUGAUUUAGGAUCUUAGUCUCUUUCAGAUCUUAGUCUUAAACUUUGGCUAAAGUUCUUUGGAAGAAUUUCGUUUUGAAUUAUGACUGUAUCCACUUCAAGUUAUUUUAAGUGCAUUGAUUGACCUAGACUUGUGUGUUUUGCUGGAAGAAAAAAAAUCAUUCAUUUGUUCUUAAAAAAAAAAACAAAGUUACUAUUUUGAUCAAAUAAAAAGUUACUCUGUAUUCAUGUCCUUAAAUUUUCCCUAAAUAUCCACAGUGAUGGCUUAUUUUAAAUGUGCGGUGCAUCUUUUCCUUGUUGUUUAGUAACCUUGCUUACCAAAAUGCAUAUUCUUUUGAAAGACUUUGCCCUUAUGUUUAUAAUAACCUGAGAUAGGGACUUGACUCAAAUAUUCAGUUUUGAAAAAAAAAAAACAUGCAUCAGUACAUGCUGUAAGUUGAGCAUAAAUCUAUCUUUCAUAGAUUUAAGUUGAUCCUAUGGUUUUUCAAACUAUUGAUUUGAGCAUGAUCUUUAAAAGGGUGGACUGUCCAAUUUAAACUAUAACUCUUUUAAGGUGGAUUCUUUGUUCGUUAAGACGAAGGGGCUGUACGUUUCAUUUGUGACGGAUAAAGAUUUUUGGAGAAGGCCGGGUUUCUUAUGGAUAAAGAUUUUUGGAGAGGGAACAUGUUUCUACCUUCUCGCUCACAAAAUUUUUAAAAGCCAAUACGGUAAGGAACUGAAAGAGAGGAGGCAUAGGUAAGUCUACGUAAACGUGAAAAAGAGAACCAACUGACAUGUAGUCAAGGUAACUCGGAAGAUCCACUAGCAUAAUUAGAUAGAGGUAACUCACACGGGUGGCUCUAUCUGCAUUGGGGAGCAUUGCAAGAGACUUGCUGUUGCAAAGGGUCGAGAUCCAACACCAGGUGAGGUACAUUUGCAUGUCCAUACACAUGAUCAUGAUGGAGAAUCUUUUGUUGAUGAGCGUGUCCGAGCUGUCCAUGAUCCUAGUGAGGAGUUGUUUGGUUAAAGAAUUCCAACGUUGGGCACCUUCUUAUCUCUUUCGUUCCCAGUGAUCGAUCGGAGAUUCAAGACGACCUCUUCUUCCACAUAAAAGGAAAGAUAUCAAGAAAUAUUACGGGAAAAUUCAGUCUCAGUCUGAUAUUGAUCAAUGUGAAGCAUAUUACAAAGCUGCUGGGGGAACAAGGAAGAGAAGAAUAUAUCGUAGUCCUUCACCCAUGCAUUAGUUUUUUAUGUUAUCUGCUUUUUGCUGGAAAGAACAAAAUUAUGCACGUUCUUUUGGUAGUUGAUAGCUUGGUGUUGCCAGUGUUUUGGACUAAACGAUUAGGAUUCCGCUAUCUAUUUUGAAUCUUUUUUAUAAAUAUUAUUUUAUGUGAAUGUCAGUUAUUUU